CUAGCUGUAAACGAUGGAUACUAGGCGUUGAGAGUAUCGACCCUCUCAGUGUCGUAGCUAACGCGUUAAGUAUCCCGCCUGGGGAGUACGCGCGCAAGCGUGAAACUCAAAGGAAUUGACGGGGGCUCGCACAAGCGGUGGAGUAUGUGGUUUAAUUCGAUGCAACGCGAAGAACCUUACCAGGGCUUGACAUGUCCGGAACCCUGCCCAAAGGCGGGGGUGCCUACGGGAACCGGAACACAGGUGGUGC
rnacentral:rRNA from 1 species